CGACUUGGAGGUUGUGCCCUUGAGGCGUGGCUUCCGGAGCUAACGCGUUAAGUCGACCGCCUGGGGAGUACGGCCGCAAGGUUAAAACUCAAAUGAAUUGACGGGGGCCCGCACAAGCGGUGGAGCAUGUGGUUUAAUUCGAUGCAACGCGAAGAACCUUACCUGGUCUUGACAUCCACGGAAUUUGGCAGAGAUGCCUUAGUGCCUUCGGGAACCGUGAGACAGGUGCUGCAUGGCUGUCGUCAGCUCGUGUUGUGAAAUGUUGGGUUAAGUCCCGCAACGAGCGCAACCCUUAUCCUUUGUUGCCAGCGGUCCGGCCGGGAACUCAAAGGAGACUGCCAGUGAUAAACUGGAGGAAGGUGGGGAUGACGUCAAGUCAUCAUGGCCCUUACGACCAGGGCUACACACGUGCUACAAUGGCAUAUACAAAGAGAAGCGACCUCGCGAGAGCAAGCGGACCUCAUAAAGUAUGUCGUAGUCCGGAUUGGAGUCUGCAACUCGACUCCAUGAAGUCGGAAUCGCUAGUAAUCGUGGAUCAGAAUGCCACGGUGAAUACGUUCCCGGGCCUUGUACACACCGCCCGUCACACCAUGGGAGUGGGUUGCAAAAGAAGUAGGUAGCUUAACCUUCGGGAGGGCGCUUACCACUUUGUGAUUCAUGACUGGGGUGAAGUCGUAACAAGGUAGC
rnacentral:rRNA from 1 species